rnacentral:lncRNA from 1 species
GGCUUCAAAAACAAACAAUCUUACAUUCCAACAACAACAACAAAGCCUUUUAUCCCAAGCAAGUUGGGGUAGGCUAGAGAAACAUAGAGACCAGGUAACUCUGAAUCUCUUAUAUGUGUAGUUUACUUGUUUACAUCAUAUUAUCCCUUAGGAGCUCAAUACAUCGUCAGAUGCCAAUUUGUCAUAAACUAAGAUUCUUGAGGUUUCAUGACAAAAGGCAUAAGAGAGCACAUUUAAAAUAGGUGCAUGGACAAUAUACUGUUUUAAAUUCAGUAUAUUGUUUGUGUUAGUUUGUGUCUAUAGGCUAUUUAGUAAGUGUCUCUUUGUUAAAAGCUACUAUUAUAUCUACCUAUAUCUUGUCUGAUAGAGUCCUGCUUUAAAAAUUGCUGGCUUUUGCAUGUGCCCAAGUCCUCUGAGAGCGUCUCACACAACUGCAACAUUGAAACAAAAUGAUAGACAUAAUAAAUCAAAUACCUGCUAAAGUGAAAUUAUCCGGAACAUUUAAGCCAUUCAAAUGAAGGACAGGCUUGGCGUAGUGGUAAGAAGCCUUUCCACUGAGCCAAAGGUUCUGGGUUCGAUGCAACCUCUCUGCAAAAAUGCAGGGAUAAGGCUUGCCUCGGUUAUUUUUUUCCAGACCCCACUCAUGUGGGAGCCCCAGCACUGAGUAUGUUCUUUUUUUCUUAUUUAAGCCAUUCAAAUACAGAAUUAUCAAGGGAAUGGGCAAUACCUUUCUGUACAGGGAGCAGUCUCCAGAUGACUUCUUUAGUUCGACAACAUAAAGAUAUUCAUUGAUCUCAAACACCUGGAAUCAUAAUACCACAAUGUUAACAGGAAGGUCCAAUAGAAACUUCAUAAAAAGAAACAGGAAGUCUAAUAGAAAUACACUAGGCACCAUGGCAGACAGCUGCAUUAAACUACAAAUAUGUUAUGCACUAAAAAUACCUCAGCAGAAAUUAAUAAUGACUCUUGCCCUCUUGAAUUUGCUAGUCCCUUGCAGUCUUGGAUCACUUUUAGCUGCAGGACAUGAUAAUAUGAUCCUCAGCAUCCCUGAUUCUGAACACACAGAGCUGGAAGUCCAUGACAUGAAUACAUGAUAGGAGAUCACUUACCUUGCCGUUGCUCUUAUGUACCUGGAACCCCAUUUUUCUGACAAUGCUCUCAAUCUUCUCAAAUAAAUAAGCUGGGGAAUAAUUUGAUGCAAAUCUGAUUUUCCUUUCAGAAACAUCCUGCACUCAAGUCACAUGUCUGACUUCAGUGGAAGGUUAUGACGACUAUGAAAAACAUCUAUAUCUCUAGAGUAUUAUUAACAAUGUCAAUGCCCAAUAAAGGCACAGAGACAACUAAACAAGGCAGGCUUUGCGAAUUUCUGGUUCCUGGGUGCUAUUCUUGACUUCUUGUCAUACGCUUUUUAACAUUUCUACCAUCUCAUUGAACCCUUCUAUUUCCAACUUAGGAAUUGCUUUGUAUGUAGAGUCUGGGAUAGGACUUAGUUCAAAUUUAAAGUCUUCAGUAAAUGUGAAGAAAUUAAAACAUACUAAAAAAUUAGACCCAAACAAACAUUCAGCUUACCUCUUUCUCAAAAAAUCCGGAUAGAUCAAGGCAGGAGGACAUUCCAAUGAGCUGGAAAGCAUUGAUUUGGUUGAUUGCUAUCUUGUCUUGGAUGUCAUUAUGCUUUAAAAUACACAGACAAAAUUCAGUCUUUAUCAGUCUGCUAAACGCCUAAAACCAUGGUGUUAUAUGGAAACUGUAAGUCUUUAUCACAUAGGUUACCUCGGUGAUGUUUAGGCUGUCUUCAUCCAUGCUGAUAUCUUCUUCAUCAUCGCUAAAUGGCAUAGCUGGAGCAUAGCCUUGCUUGAACCAAUCAUGUGCCCUUAUUCCAUCCACAUCUAUGCGUGUAACCGGGUUAGGAUCCAGGAUUUUUCUCAGUAUAUCUUGGGCACCUUGGGAGAGCCACUUUGGAAUGUGAGCAUUCCCCUUGAGAAUCUGAGAAGAAUAAACAUCACAUCGUUGAGAUAUGGUUGCGUGAAACGAAAUUAGCCAAAUAUAUAUAUUCUGGUCAUACUCCAUUCCUUCCUUUAUACCUUCUGGUAAAGGACAACCACAUUUUGGUCGUCGAAUGGAAGAUUCCCUGUAAGCAUUACAUAUAGAAUAACACCACAGGACCAUACGUCAGAUAUCGAGCCGUCAUAACCUUUGUUCAGAAGGACCUAAAAACACCGUGGUCAGCAAUUCAGUCUUCCACGUGCAUGAUUCAGAUCUGAAGUAGAAAUGAUGGAACCAAGCAUCCUAGUAGCUUGAACGCCACUACACCGGAACCAAAAAUAGUGCUUGAUUCUUACCUCAGGGGCUAUGUAGUUAGGGCUGCCACAUGUGGUAUGCAACAAACCAUCUUUCUGGGGGAAAAAAAAGAGAGCCGUCAUUUUAGGCACACACAGACAAAAUGAUUCAGACUGAUCUGACACCAGAGAGGAAGGAUGGCAUACUUGUUGGUUCUGUGGAAGGGCACUUAAUCCGAAAUCAGAAACUUUUAUGUUUCCUUUUGCAUCAACAAGGACAUUCUCUGGCUGCAAAAAAAAAAAGGUUCAGAAGAAAGGUCCUUGGUGAUGUCCAUUCCUAUCAUCGAUUGGGUACCCCAAAAGCUAUGGCGAAGGAGCGAGUGAUGAUUACCUUGAGGUCCCUGUGAUAAACCCCCUUCUCGUGGCAGUAUCCCACGGCAUCUAUGAGCUGCUGGAACAGUUUCCUCCCUUCCUUCUCCGUCAGCUUACCCUUCAACGCCUGCAUAUACUGAAGAUUUGAGUUCGGUAGCAUCUGGUAGCUGUAGCUCAAGAUUCAAGAACAAGCUCGACUAGUUUACAGUCAAGGGGUAGAGCUCUUACGAUCUUGUCAAACAGCUCUCCUCCAUUGACGUACUCAAGCACCAUGUAUAUUUUGGUCUUGCUUGCGGAAACCUGCACGAGAAGAGCAAGGUCAAAUAAUGGCCCAGUCCCUUGCUUAAUUUUUUUUCUUUCUUUCUUUUGCUUUCUGAAACAGACAGACUAGUUUGAUGUUCUCACGCAACUUAAUAUUUUAUUUAAGCGUGGAUCAUCAGUCGGUGUAAUCCUUGUCGAUAAAGGUAGCUUCGGGCUUGGGGACAAGGCAUUGGUCUAAUUUUCUGUCAGGAAGCAAAAGCCUGACGUGGACAUGAUCCACUCAGGAAACCAGUCCGGUCGGUGAGCCAAACUCAUCCAUCUGCUGCUGCUCUGAUUUGACGCCUCACCUAUGCAUCGUUGUAUGUAGUUUUGCUAGCGUUUGUGUGGGGGCUCAGGCCAAAUAUAAUACGGAGUACUCGAAGAUGCAUGUGUGUGUGAAGCAGCUGUGCGCACGCUAUUCACUAUUUUUCUCUCUCUCUGCCUUGCAGGACCAGAAAGCUGCCUGACGAAACCGCACGGCCGGAAGGAAGAGGCGAUGAUCCAAUAAUUGGGAUCGCGCACGCCACCUCCACGAAUCAAAGGGCAUUUUAUCCAGUGUGGUCGGGGUGUGGCACCAGCCGCCGUCCGAUCAUCGGGGGCUGACGGCUGGGAUGUCGCACGUGGCGUGUCGUCCCCGGAUGGGCAACGGCUGUCAGCAGAUCUGGAAGGAGAAGGACCCGACCGGUCGGCGUCUGACCACCUCAGGAUCUUUUUUAUUUGGAUUAUUAGAUUAUUUUUAGUGUUAUAUAAUAAUUGAUCGAUUGAUGUGUACAGCAAUAAUAAAUAAAAUAAGAGGCACGAGUACAGAUGGAAUUUCUCGGAAUGCAACAGUAAAAAGACUAUUCUUUGGCCUAACUCUACCCUGGGUUGUGUUUGUGAUUUGUGAACUGUCAAGUGGGCAGUGGAAAAGAAAUGUACUUUUCUAGCAGUAGUGACUGAGCUGCGGCGGCCUGAUUUUUCUAUGAUUUGUCGUGGCCUCGAGAUUCAAACGCAACUUGUUCAACGGCACACAGUGGCUGAUUUCUUGCUUGCUUGUCGUCGUCGGCCCCCGCACGGCCGCACCGCACGCAAACUAAACUGCCAAAACUACCCUUCCUCUUCUUCCUCCCUCUUCUUCCAACACGGCCGGCCAGCAGGAAAGCAGAACAGAAGAGCGCGGAACGAACCAA